rnacentral:rRNA from 1 species
UACAGAGGUCUCAAGCGUUGUUCGGAUUCAUUGGGCGUAAAGGGUGCGUAGGCGGCGCGGUAAGUCGGGUGUGAAAUCUCGGAGCUUAACUUCGAAACUGCAUUCGAUACUGCCGUGCUUGAGGACUGGAGAGGAGACUGGAAUUUACGGUGUAGCGGUGAAAUGCGUACGAUAUCGUAAGGAAGACCAGUGGCGAAGGCGGGUCUCUGGACAGUUCCUGACGCUGAGGCACGAAGGCCAGGGGGAGCAAAACGGGG